CAUCUGGCACUUUUUAUGAAAUAUUUCUUCCUGCUAACUGCAUGUAUCUAAUAACAACCUUAGGUGGUGUGACUUUCCUUACAUAGUUUGGGGCAAGAGGUGAAGCAACUCUCUGACCUCAGGUGACUUCCAAAAACGAUCAAGCACAAGGCUGAUGCUUCAAAACCAUAUAUAUUCCUUCCUGUGUAGAAUUUUUUUUGGAUUUCUUCAUUGAUUUUCCUUUUAAUUUUUGUUCAAUUACUUAUUGGUUUUCAAUGGAUGGAUGUUUAAAACUUGUCUCAAUUAAUGUUUUGAAUGGAAUGAUUGUAAAGUUUGGGAUUGAGCAGGAAAAUAUGAUGAAUUUUAAUGUUAUAUUUAGGUUGGGUUGAA